AACCUCUGCAAUAAGCGAAAGCUUGACAGGGUUACUCUGAGUGACUUCCGCUAAGGAAGUCUUUUGGCACCUCUAAAAAUGGUGCAGAAUAAGGGGUGGGCAAGUCUGGUGUCAGCCGCCGCGGUAAUACCAGCACCCCGAGUGGUCGGGACGAUUAUUGGGCCUAAAGCAUCCGUAGCCGGUCCUGCGAGUCCUCCGUUAAAUCCACCCGCUCAACGGU
rnacentral:rRNA from 1 species